UCCUGAGAUGGAAGAGGGUUCAGGGAAGGCCAUGAGUGACUGUGAGCAAAUGUGUUGGUAAGAUACAUGAGAGAGAUUAGCAGGUCCUGGAGAAAAAAAAAAAAGUGUUUUAGGAAGAGAAGGUAACAACCAACAGAGAGGAUGAUUCCUAAGAAGCAUUCCUGACUCCUCAUUUCAAACGAGCUUUCUAAGGCAAGAUCUAAGUCACUCCUGGGUGUUUGAAAAUAUGCCUUUCAGCAUACCCCCUUCCUGUGACACAACCAUACAGAUAAGGAGGAAUUCACUUGUGGAUAUGACACGUCGUCUGCUGUCCGCUAAAACACUGGGAAUUCAGGGUCAGUAAACUCUGUGGAGCCUGCAGUUUGGUUUUCCCGUCCUUCAGAAAGUCCUCCUAUCCUGAUGAAACCCACAUAUUUCUUGGCAGCAGUGGGUGUGUGGGAGGGACUGACCUACCCUUGAAGUUGGAGACAUCGAAGACACUUCUAGUACCUGAUGACCAUAGGAUUUUCAGGAAAGGAUGGGCAAAGAUUUUCAUUUAUCCUAAUUCUAAGCUUCCCAGUGUCCCACUCAUCCCUAGCUCCUUCAUCCCCUAUAGCAUUCUUUUCAUUCUCCAAGCUCAGUUCACAUAGCCACGUGUCCCUUCCAAAUGGGAGAGGUAUUUAUGUUCUAUGCUUAGUUUUAAAAGUCUUGGUCCUCCCCUACCCAACUGACCAGGAACUCUGUGCAUGUGUUGGACAGGCAAGCAAGUCAGUGGGAGAAGCCAGUAGAAUGUAGAAACCACUAGUCUCAGAGGAAUAAUGUAGCCUGAACGGAAUAGGGCAAGGUUUACUUUAUCACUCCUACAUCUAAUGAUUAUAGACCAUAUUUCAUACCCUCAAACAAGAGUAACUUCUUUUCUAUGGUUUUAAUCAUAAUUAUCUCAAGUAUUUAACAUCUCUUUUCUAGAACAUUACAUUAAACUAUCAGAAAAUAUACAAUUAAGAACAAACUACCAUCACUGGAAAUCAAGAAGGAAAGCCAGCUAUGUAAACACCUCUAUGCAGUGUAUUCAUCCUGAACAGAUGGGCGUUGUUGGAACAAAAUUCAGUCGACAGGGGCUACCCAGAGGCAGUGACCGCGAAAGGGAGACCUGUGGAGGUACAGGGCCCAGCUCCAUGAAGACAAGGAGGAUGAGCUCCAGAAGCAGGGACAAACCUGUGAGUAGGUGAGUUCCAGAUGAGGAUUCCAUUGAUCUUAGUGAGGCCCUGCUCACUUUACAACAGCUCUUCAGGGACCAGGAAUCUCUUUUUCCAUCUGAAGAGACCCAGGGAAGUAUUCCUUGACCUGCUAGAGAAACCACAAAGAUGUACCUAGGAACAAGGAGGUGUGUUGAAACUCCUGCAGAGAGGACCAUGAGAAGGGUGCACAGAUCUCACACCCAGGCCUGAAAGAUGGGGAACUGCCUCAAAUCCAGCAUCUUGGAUGACAGCUCUGUUCCUGAGUCUCCAUCCCGCUGGGUGGGCCCAGGCGGGGGGAGACGCUGGGAUCAGGAACCACAUCCGGAACAAGUUCCAAAUCCCAUCCAUCUUCCAACACCCAGCUCGCUUCACCAAGCAGCACAGCUGAUGGAAGAGGAACAAGUGAGGUUAGCUCAAAGAAUCAGCCUUAAAGAGCGCCUGCCUCAAGGAGUGUACAGAACAGAUGGAUUUGAAGAAAAGAUCCAGGAGGAGUGUGUGAUUUGUUGGUUGGAGUUUGUGCGUGGGGACUCCAUCAGAUUUCUGCCCUGCGCACACUUCUAUCACCCGAACUGCAUCAAUGAGUGGUUGACCAGGUCCUUCACCUGCCCCUACUGUCGCAGGCCCAUGGAUGUCACACAGCCUUCAUCCCAGGACAUUAAUUGAGCCAGGAUCCCUUGUUUGAUUUCAAGUGUCCCAUCAUUUUUAGUGAUUUUGAUAUUUUGUCAUCGUGUCUAAGUAGCCAGGGAUUAGGAAUUAAAAUCAUGCACAAAGAUUUCCUAAAAAUUCCUGUCAUGUUGCAGAUGAUGGCAAACAACUUAUAAUGUUUUAGAAACUUAGGGAGAUAAUAGCAUGUAAAGCCUUGACCAAGUGUUCAGAAGUGUAAUUAUAUCUUAGCAUUUUUCCAGUACAUGGGAUGUGUACCAUGUUGCAGCAGCUAUACACGUUGUAUCGUGUCUGUUGAAGAUUAGGGAAAAGAAAGUGGUUACUUUUCCUAAGUGAUAUAACUUUCUUCUCCCCAAUCCAAACUGGCAUUUGGACCAAGGUUUUAUGAAAAACUACAAUUUAUACAACUGAACUAAAAUGAAAUCCAAUUAUAUAUGAGUGAAUAAAUGAAGAAUCUUAUUUUCAAUAACCCUCCUAAAUGGUUUUAUCUUUUUUUUCUCCAUCAUUUUGAGACAUUUAACUUUUUUCUUGUAAGUCCAACCAAGGGGAACAGUGUCCCAGGGAAGAACAAUCGUGAGUAGGUUUAUUAGCUGUGUAAUUACGGUGCGUUCAUGUAAUUUAGCUGUGUUUGUGUAAAGGGAUAAUAAAAUAGUUUUCCAUCUAAAAGUCAGAGUUGAGGGAGUGAUAUUGCUGGAGACCCCAGGUGGAGGAGGGCAUUAGAAUGAUUCAGGAUGAGUGUAUGCAGAGGUUUGACUUGGAUUUGCAAUCAUGAUUUGGAAUCAUGGAGUGAACUGAACUUCUGAUCACUGUGGGCUAAUAAGCAUACACACCUCCGUGUUUUCCACAUUUUUAUCUCUCAAAUGGAGGUGUUCAUAUAUUAUUAAUUAGCAAUAAUAGUCAUAGUCGUCUUCCUUGUGACCAUAGGCAAGGAAAGCCCUCCCCUUCUUUCUCUUAGAGCAUACUGCAUGUUCCCAGUGAUUAGGGCCACAUCCUUAUGAAGGACUGAUGUUUAUGAGAUGUGGGUCUGGAAAUUGGAAAACUGGGGUCCCAUGGCUUCUUUGUCCUUCCUCAGCUUUGCCUUCUUGAUGCUUGUACUGGCGACCCCUCCCCUUUCACCCUCUCUCCUAGUUCAUAAGAACUUGUGAGUCCCACCCAAACCACCCAGACCCAGGGUAAAUGCCUGCCACAGCUCUCAGUGCUCCAUCUUGUGCAAACUGGUCCCCUCAAUUCUCUUCCUCCUCUCUCUUGGACCCCGACCCUGUGGAAGCAGAGGGAGGUUAGGUGACUAGACACCCACUGGGCACACAGAAUCCUGUAGUCCACCCUGAGCCAUAUAUGUGGGACAUUCUCUCCACUGAGGCUGUCCAACCAGUGCUGAGAGUGAACAAGAGGAAUCUGGCUCCAGGGGAUAAUUGCACGACUUUCUCAGACCUCCUAGGACUAUAAGCCGUUUGUGAUCUCCUGUUCCAAAUACACCCAGACAAAGGCACUUUAGGUUUGAUUUCCCAUAGCAAUCCUCCCAGGAUCGGCACAAACAUUACAACUCCCUAUCCAAUCUUUGGGGAUAAAUCUCUGAUGACUGUGUACGGAGUGUCUUCUCUUUUCUCUUCUUUAAAAUUUCU